CAGUAGCCGCGGUAAUACGGAGGGUGCGAGCGUUAAUCGGAAUUACUGGGCGUAAAGCGUACGCAGGCGGUUUGUUAAGUCAGAUGUGAAAUCCCCGAGCUUAACUCGGGAAUGGCAAUAGAAACUGGACGGCUAGAGUGUGUCAGAGGAUGGUGGAAUUCCCGGUGUAGCGGUGAAGUGCGUAGAGAUCGGGAGGAACAUCAGUGGCGAAGGCGGCCAUCUGGGACAACACUGACGCUGAAGCACGAAAGCGUGGGGAGCAAACAGGAUUAGAGACCCCUGUAGUCCCUGUCUCUUAUAA
rnacentral:rRNA from 1 species